rnacentral:rRNA from 1 species
UACGUAGGGGGCUAGCGUUGUCCGGAAUCAUUGGGCGUAAAGAGCGUGUAGGCGGCUCGGUAAGUCCGUUGUGAAAGUCCAGGGCUCAACCCUGGAAUGCCGGUGGAAACUGUCGGGCUAGAGUCCGGAAGAGGCGAGUGGAAUUCCUGGUGUAGCGGUGAAAUGCGCAGAUAUCAGGAGGAACACCAAUGGCGAAGGCAGCUCGCUGGGACGGUACUGACGCUGAGACGCGAAAGCGUGGGGAGCAAACAGG